GUAAAAGACAAGCUGGCUAAGGAGGUGGCAUUGGGCCGCAUGGCUGGCCCUUUUCGUGAACCCCCCCUUCCUGACCUUCGAAUAUCACCACUAGGCGUCGUUCCCAAGAGAGAGCACGGGAAAUUUCGGCUAAUUCAUCAUCUCUCGCACCCCCAAGGGGGUUCCGUGAAUGAUGACAUUGCGGCGGAGCUAUGCCGAGUUUCUUACGCCUCGUUUGAUACUCCGG